GACGAACGCUGGCGGCGUGCUUAACACAUGCAAGUCGAACGGAAAGGCCCUGAUUGCUUAGUACUCGAGGGGGUAAUGGGUGAGUAACACGCGGACGAUCUGCUCUCGCCUUGGGGAUAUGCCUGGUAAACUGGGACUGAAACCGGAUACGAGUCAUUAUACGUGUGAUGGUCGCAAAGUUUUUUCGGUGUAGGAUGAGAUCGCGGCCUGUCAGCUUGGUAGUGGGGUAUGGGUCUACCAAGGCGGCGACAGGUAGCCUGCCUGAGCGGGGGGACUGACACAUUGGGACUGAGAUACGGCCCGGACUCCUACGGGAGGGAGCGGAGGGGAAUGUUGCACAAUGGGCGCGAGCCUAAUGCGGCGACGCCGCGUGGGGGAUGACGGCCUUCGAGUUGUAAACUCCAUUCGCUAGAGACGAAGCUUUUGUGACGGUACCUAGAUAAGAAGCACCGGCUAAAUACGUG
rnacentral:rRNA from 1 species